rnacentral:rRNA from 1 species
GUGCAGCAGGCGCGAAUACUCCGCAAUGCGGGCAACCGCGACGGGGCUACCCCGAGUGCCGGGCGAAGAGCCCGGCUUUUGCCCGGUCUAAAAAGCCAGGAGAAUAAGCGGGGGGCAAGUCUGGUGUCAGCCGCCGCGGUAAUACCAGCUCCGCGAGUGGUCGGGGUGUUUACUGGGCUUAAAGCGCCCGUAGCCGGCCCGGCAAGUCGCUCCUGAAAUCCCAGGGCUCAACCCUGGGGCGGGGGGCGAUACUGCCGGGCUAGGGGGCGGAAGAGGCCGCCGGUACUCCGGGGGUAGGGGCGAAAUCCGUUAAUCCCCGGAGGACCACCAGUGGCGAAAGCGGGCGGCCAGAACGCGCCCGACGGUGAGGGGCGAAAGCCGGGGGAGCAAACCGGGCUCAGGUCGGCGUUGCGCAGACAAUCUGAUCAUCCAGUCCCACCACGCGCGCCAACCCCCUCAUCUUUACCAAGCCGACCUGGCCCGGGCUCAAAGGGGAUUAGAUACCCCUGUAGUCCCGGCCGUAAACGAUGCGGGCUAGCUGUCGGCUGGGCUUAGGGCCCGGCCGGUGGCGAAGGGAAACCGUUAAGCCCGCCGCCUGGGGAGUACGGCCGCAAGGCUGAAACUUAAAGGAAUUGGCGGGGGAGCAC